CGUAUGGUGCAAGCGUUAUCCGGAUUUACUGGGUGUAAGGGAGCGCAGGCGGUGCGGCAAGUCUGAUGUGAAAGCCCGGGGCUCAACCCCGGUACUGCAUUGGAAACUAGUCGUACUAGAGUGUCGGAGGGUAAGGCGGAAUUCCUAGUGUAGCGGUGAAAUAGCGUAGAUAUUAGGAGGAACACCAGUGGCGAAGGCGGCUUACUGGACGAUAACUGACGCUGAGGCUCGAAAGCGUGGGGAGCAAACAGGAUU
rnacentral:rRNA from 1 species